rnacentral:snRNA from 1 species
GGAUGUGAGGGCGAUCUGGCUGUCACAUCUGUCACCCCACUGAUCACCAGGGUUAAUAUGGCUGAUCUGGCUGGCUAGGCGGGUGUCCCCUUCCUUCUUCACCACUCCAUGUGCGUCCCUCCCGAAGCUGCGUGCUCGGUUGAAGAGGACGACCAUCCCAAUAAAGGAGGACCAUUCUUUGGCCAAGAGUGUAUGAGUAGCUGUGCUCCCCUGCUAGAACCUCCAAACAGACUCUCAAGAUCAUGAUCUUCCAUAUCUCAGCCUCCCACGUAUCUAUGACAGGCCCAUACCACCCUACCAACGCUGAACUUUUUGG